rnacentral:rRNA from 1 species
AGUACGGCGGAACACGUGAAAUUCCGUCGGAAUCCGGGAGGACCAUCUCCCAAGGCUAAAUACUCCCUAGUGACCGAUAGUGAACCAGUACCGUGAGGGAAAGGUGAAAAGCACCCCGGAAGGGGAGUGAAACAGUUCCUGAAACCGUGUGCCUACAAGUAGUUAGAGCCCGUUAAUGGGUGAUAGCGUGCCUUUUGUAGAAUGAACCGGCGAGUUACGAUUUGUUGCAAGGUUAAGCGGAAAAAGCGGAGCCGUAGCGAAAGCGAGUCUGAAUAGGGCGCAUAAGUAACAGGUCGUAGACCCGAAACCAGGUGAUCUACCCAUGUCCAGGAUGAAGGUAAGGUAAUACUUACUGGAGGUCCGAACCCACGCACGUUGAAAAGUGCGGGGAUGAGGUGUGGGUAGCGGAGAAAUUCCAAUCGAACUUGGAGAUAGCUGGUUCUCUCCGAAAUAGCUUUAGGGCUAGCCUCGAGGUAAAGAGUCAUGGAGGUAGAGCACUGUUUGGACUAGGGGCCCUUCUCGGGUUACCGAAUUCAGAUAAACUCC